AGCACCCACCCUUUUCCUCUACCCCACAGCAGAAUCACAUGGCAGAGGUGAUAACCACAUUUCUUACUGACUGGUUUUAGAGGUGAGAAAAUUGGCUGGGGAGCUGCUGCUCCUGCGUGUGCUGUGGAGGAGGAUCUUGGAGAAUUGUCACACUAGGGCCAGAGAAGAGAGGAAAGUAGAGACUUCACGCAUGAGAAUAUGUUGCCCUUCUUAGGGCAGAGGCUAAGGGAAGUUCCCCCCACCCCAGCCAUGCUUAGAGGCAGGCAGCGGAGAUGGUACCUGUUCCUGGGAUCAUCCUGGGUGACAAAAAGCGAGUGAUCGGAGGAUCCAAUGGAGGAGAGUCACCGGAGGGUCCUGCACUGUACCUGGCACCCCACACUGUGGUGCAGAACAAAGAAUACCUUCCAAAAAGUUCAGGGAAUAGGAGGCAGGAAUCCAGCCACUGAUGCCCGGGGAGGACCAGUACUUGCUAGCACUCCUUGGGACUGUAGACUAGGAGACGGUAAAAAUGGGCUUGCACAGCCCCAUCCCGGCCCGUCCUCUGGUAACAUUCACUCUAUCUCCACAGUCUCUGAGAGCUCCCUCCUACCCGUCCUGGACACUGGUCUCACCUCCCCCAUCCAUGGAUAACACAGGAGGAAAAUAUGAGUGAGCUGCCCUAGGCAAGGCAAGGACCAGUAUGUGAGGACCCUGGAUCCUUCAGGAGGAUACUGUGCUGGUGGGGAAUUCUGAUGGCUGUAUCCUCGGGGCCCUAACUCUGCGAGAACAGCUUCCGGGGGGGACCUGGGACCACAGGAUGGCCACAGCUCCCGCAGAAUCAGCCUCUCAGUCUCGGCUUCUCUUCCCUCGAAAGUUUUAAAGCUCCAGCUACCACCUCUUUCCAAAGAGAGAACUUACUAAGGGGGAAGCCUCAGACCAGGCGUGGGAAUAACACCAUCGAAUCCCUUUACAACUACACUACAGCUGAGUGAGUGGCCUUGGCGACCUAGUCAACUUUUCCUCUCUGUGCCCUAGUUUCUUUCCCACAAGGAUGGGGAAACCUGAAUAGCAGUCUUGGCUUCUCCGUGUGCUCAUGGAGACCCUGUGAAAUGAAGCGGUAAGCUUGGAACACUGCCUGCCUUGCUGUUCACAGCAGUCCUUGCUGGACGGUGAGAAGAAUGAGCAAAGAGCUGUGUCCAACGAGAAAAGACAGAGAGAGACGACGCUGCUGACCUUGGAGAUGGGGAAAGGGACCCAAUCAAACGUGAGUGACUUCUGGAAUCUGCUGAAGGUCAGGAAAAGGAUGCUUUCCUAGGACCUGGAGAAAGAAAGAGAGCCCUUUAUUUUGUUUAGUUCAGGGAGAUGCAUCGGGCUGUUGAUCUGAGAUCUGUAUGGUAAUGAGUUUGUAUUGUUGUAAAUCUCAGAUGUUUUCAACCUGUAGGUCAUGAACCUUUGGGGUUAUACAUUAGAUAUUUACAUUAUGAUUCAUAAGAGUAUCAAAAUUAUAGUUAUGAAGUAGCAAUGAAAUAAUUUUAUGGUUGGGGGUUACCACAACAUGAGAAACUGUAUUAUAGCAUUAGGUCAUAGCAUUAGGAAUAUUGAGAACCAUUGCUCUAAGAUCAUGUAACUUGUUAUAGCAGCAACAGGAAACUAAUUCAUCCACUAACUUAAAAAAAAAAAAAAAACUACCCCUGUCACUGAGCCAUCUCCAAGGACUCAUCUUCCUUCUCAGUCCCCCUAGCUUCUGGAUAUACUGGCCCUCUCCACCAGCAGCCACCUUCCACAAGCAAUAUGCCUACUGGCUAGAACCUCUACUGUGAUGGUAUUGUGUUCUCCAAAAUAUUGUGUACCCUAAUAAACUUAUCUGGGAUCAGAAAACAGGACAGCCACAAUAUUAAAGAUAGAAGAUAGGCAGUGGUAGCACACGC